rnacentral:rRNA from 1 species
CGUAGGACAUUAAUCGUUGAACAAACGAACCUUUAGCAGCGGCUACACUGCUAGGGGGCCCUGAUCCAACAUCGAGGUCGUAAGCCCCCCUGGCGAUAUGGACUCUUAAGGGGGAUGGCGCUGUUAUCCCUGGGGUAACUUGGUUCGAUUGUCAGUCUUACUGGAUCUAUGUCUUGGUAUUUGGCUUGUGGGCCGUGUAGUCAGGGUGUAAACCUGAUUUAACAUGGAGGUUAUAUUUUACUCCGCAGUCGCCCCAACUUAAAGUUUAGGCUAUUAAUGAUUGUUUAGUUAGGCCUAGGGCAGGCUUGUUAGUUGUUUAAUUAGCUGUAGGCUUAAAGCUCCACAGGGUCUUUUCGUCUUGUGGUUAUAUCUCAGCUUUUGUACUGAGAGAUCAGUUUCAUUGAUUGGGUGCAGGAGACAGUUGGGCUUUCAGGUGGCCAUUCAUACUGGUCUUUAUUUAGAAGACAAGUGAUUACGCUACCUUUGCACGGUUAUGAUACCGCGGCCGUUAAAC